rnacentral:rRNA from 1 species
GAUGAACGCUGACAGAAUGCUUAACACAUCAGCAAUUGAUUGGUGGCGGACGGGUGAGUAACGCUUAAAGAACUUGCCUCACAGGUAGGGACAACAUUUGGAAACGAAUGCUAAUACCUAAUACUGUGAUAGAGCUUUGCGUCCCCUUAGCUAGUUGGAGAGGUAACGGAUCACAAAGGAGAUGAUGGGUAGCCGGCCUGGGGUGGUGAUCGGCCACAAGGGGACUGGGACACGGCCCUUACUCCUACUGGAGGCAGCAUUGGGGAUUAUUGGACAAUGGACAAAAGUCUGAUCCAGCAAUUCUGUGUGCACGAUGAAGUUUUCGGAAUGUAAAGUGCUUUCAGUUGGGAAGCGGUACCAACAGAAGAAGUGACGGCUAAAUACGUGCCAGCAGCCGCGGUAAUAC